UACAGAGGUCCCAAGCGUUGUUCGGAUUCACUGGGCGUAAAGGGUGCGUAGGUGGUGAGGUAAGUCGGAUGUGAAAGCUCCGAGCUCAACUCGGAAAUGGCAUUGGAAACUACCUUGCUCGAGGGUUUGAGGGGGGACUGGAAUACUUGGUGUAGCGGUGAAAUGCGUAGAUAUGCGGAGGAACACCGAUGGCGAAGGCAAUCCCCUGGACCUGUACUGACGCUCAUGCACGAAAGCGUGGGGAGCAAACAGG
rnacentral:rRNA from 1 species